rnacentral:lncRNA from 1 species
UGCCUUUUAGAUCUUUAUGUUCUUUGAGGAUCUUGUAUCUUUCUUCCUCUUUCAAGGGCUUUUUUUUUUCUUACCCUUUGAAUUUCGCUUCCAAAGUAGAUAGAGUAGGCUUAUAACUCUUUAAGUCAAAGAGAUAGAUAUAUCAGGGUUUUAGCCCUCUCAAAGAAAGGGGAAACCCUAAUUUCAAGAAGAAUUGAGAAAGAUUUGCCUAGAAGCUGAGAAUUUAAAGAAACCAAAACAAACAAAUAAAAAGGGGGAAAAAUAGAGAAAAAAUUUAGUGGAGAAGAAGGAGAAAGAGCAAAAG